UGGCGGUCUCCGACGAGAAAUAGCGGCAGCCUGGCGGCGCAAUCGGAAGCGGAGAGAGAGGGGAAAAGGAGAGGAGGCCGCGCUCUUUAUAGUGGCGCGGGAGGCAAGACGAGGGGAACUCGGCGUGCGGCGGCGAGAUUAGCGGCGCUUGCCGCUUGAGGAGGACGACCCUGAUAGGCGGGUCCCGCCUGUCAGUGGCCUGGCUCUCCGCGCGCUAUGCAAGCCGCCAGUUGGGCUGCGGCGUGCGGUAGGUGAGUGGGGCGGCCCAGUUGGGUCGGUCCGGUUCUCUUUUUUUUCCUUCUUUACUUUUUCCUUUUUCUUUUUCUGUUUUUCCUUUAUAACUCUCGAUUUUGAACUCCAAAUUGAUUCAAAUAAAUUUCAGAAAAAUUGUAAAAUCAUAUUGUAAUAUGAUUCAACUUUUGGGACUAAUUUCCCUUCCAAAUAAAAUAUAUAAAAAUACAUUUGCCCUAUAAAUGCCUUUAGGGCUUUAUAACUAUUUGAAUAAAAUAGUUUUCCAACUCGAGUGUAAAUAUUAAAAAUUACGAGAUAGCUCAUUUAUGCAAUAAACCCCAUUAUAGAUAAACCCUAUUGGUUUAAAAAUGCAAAGCUCAAAUGGGUGAAAUCCUAGGGUUUUAAAAUGAAAUAAAACCUUUUUAAAGCCUUUUGGAAUUCAAAUUUUGAUUCAAACAUGCAAAUGUGGCAUGAUGCUCAUGAAUGCAAUGCAUAUGAAAGAGUUUGAAUUUUUGGGAUGUCACAACAACAUUGGGAGGAACAAUUAGGGUUUCGGGAAAAAGAAGUUAGGGUUGCAUUUUGGGCAUAGAAGUUAGGGUUGCGACCAUUAUAUGACUGCCAUCCACUAUCUAGGCCCACAUGUCAACAUAUUAUUUACUUACUUAAUUAAUGGGAUAUCCAUAGAGCAACC
rnacentral:lncRNA from 1 species